AUACGAAGGGCCCGAGCGUUGCGCGGAAUCACUGGGCUUAAAGCGUACGUAGGCGGACAUGCAGGCAUUUUGUGAAAUCCCUCGGCUCAACCGAGGAACUGCAGGGUGAACCGCAUGUCUUGAGGUGAGUAGGGGCUGUCGGAACGAUAGGUGGAGCGGUGAAAUGCGUUGAUAUCUAUCGGAACGCCGAAGGCGAAGGCAGACAGCUGGGCUUAUUCUGACGCUGAGGUACGAAAGCGUGGGGAGCGAACGGGAUUAGAAACCCCAGUAGUCC
rnacentral:rRNA from 1 species